CCCAAAGAUACCCACCCCCGGUACAUAAAUGUCCUCCCUUGAGUAUGGGAGGAAACUGAAUAUAAUGGAAUAGUCACUGCCAUGAUUAAAUUAUGUCAUGUAAAACAAUGUCAUAGUAGAUUAGGGGGACUUGCUGUCAGUUGACAGCUAGCAAGAAAGCAGAAUCCUCAGUCCUACAACUGUAAAAAACCGAAUUCUUUCAACAACGUAAAUGAGCUUAGAAGAGAACAACUGCCUCCAGAUGAGACACUGACAUCUUGUGACUCCUUGAUUUCAGCUUUGUGAGACUCUGAGCAAAGAAUCCAGCUAAGCUGAGCUAAGUUUGUAGUAAUUUGUCAUACAGCAAUAGAAAACUAAUAGAGUAGGUAACAGAACAAGUGAUAUGGAGCAAUGGUAAAAAUCAUGAAGGUAGUAACUCAAAUGACUGAGGCUUGUAAAACACUGUCCCACCCCAGGAGACAGAACUACUAGACCCAGUCACGGAGGAAAGCCCCUGCCUUGGGUCCUGCACAUUAAUGGGUAUCAAAUAUCACAAAUACACACAUCCACAUCCACACAUACACACAAAAUGGGCAUACACAGGCCCGUCUAUUUGGAAUCCAACACUGAGUACUAGCAGCACACAAUCUAUAAGUCCUAAUAUCUGCUUGCAUGGCCAGUGUCAUUCAGGUGCCAGGGAAAUGCUUCUGCCAUUCGUUACCUGAUGUCCUUGUCUUAGUCCAUUUGGGCUGCUAUAAAAAACAUACUAUAAAGUAGGUGGCUUAUAAUUAACAAAAAUUUAUUUUUCACAGUUCUGGAGGCUGGGAAGCCCAAGAGCAAGAUGCUGGCCCCAAGAUUUGGUGUCUGGUGAGUGUCUGCUUCCUCAUAGAUGGCUGUCUUCUCACUGUAAUUUCAUAUGGUGGAAAGGGUGAAUAAACUCUCUAAAGCCUCUUUCGUAAGUCACUGAUCCCAUCAAAGGUUCUACCUUCAUGACCUAACCACCUCCCUAAAGUCCCACUCCACAAUACAAUCACCUUGAGGGUUAUUAUUUCAACAUACAAAUUUCUGGGGGACACAUACGGACCAGAAGGUUGUAAAGCUUUGUGUGUUAUGCUGCUCCUGGCAUCAGAAACACAAAAUGCCCCAGAAUGCAAGGAGGACUUGGGGUAUGGAGAUGGAGUUUAAGUAAAAGACAAACCAAAUAACUUGUGAAAU
rnacentral:lncRNA from 1 species